rnacentral:rRNA from 1 species
UGUUAUUGACGUUGAGGGAGGGGAAAGCAUUGGGGAGCGAAACAGGAUUAGGAUACCCUGGUAGUUCAUGCCGUAAACGUUGGGCAGUAGGUGUGGGGGACAUUGCACGUUUUCCGCGCCGUAGGUAACGCAUUAAGUGCCCCGCCUGGGGAGUACGGCCGCAAGGAUAAAACUCAAAGGAAUUGACGGGGGCCCGCACAAGCGGCGGAGCAUGCGGAUUAAUUCGAUGCAACGCGAAGAACCUUACCAAGGCUUGACAUUCACCGGACCGCCCCAGAGAUGGGGUUUCCCUUCGGGGCUGGUGGACAGGUGGUGCAUGGUUGUCGUCAGCUCGUGUCGUGAGAUGUUGGGUUAAGUCCCGCAACGAGCGCAACCCUCGUUCUAUGUUGCCAGCACGUGAUGGUGGGGACUCAUAGGAGACUGCCGGGGUCAACUCGGAGGAAGGUGGGGAGGACGUCAAAUCAUCAUCCCCCUUAUGUCUUGGGCUUCACGCAUGCUACAAUGGCCGGUACAAAGGGUUGCGAUACUGUGAGGUGGAGUUAAUCCCAAAAAGCCGGUCUCAGUUCGGAUUGAGGUCUGCAACUCGACCUCAUGAAGUAGGAGUCGUUAGUAAUCGCAGAUCAGCAACGCUGCGGAGAAAACACUCCCCCGCCCAGUACACACCCCCC